rnacentral:lncRNA from 1 species
GCCGCCAUUGCUGCUGCCUGAAGCCGGCUGGUCCGUGAGUUUUCUUUUCUGUUCAAUUUUUUCUGCCAAUACCUACUAUAUUUUGGAUUUUAUAUGUUACCCACACAAAGUUAUUUCAGAUUUGUUUGAAUUUAUCGCUGAGAUGCAACCAGAUCUGAGGAAGAACAAAAUAUAGGUAAUAUUGAAUAGAAAUCGAAGAAGGGGAAGAGAAGAAACGAUGAAGAGUUAAAAUGCAAAGGUUUCAGUGAAAUGGAUUCCCGUUUUCUCCCUUUGUUUCUUCAUUAUUGGCAUGGUUUUCACCAGCAAUACGUGUUUGUACCGAGAAUUAUUGAUUUUUUUCCCUAAAACUUUGGGGGAUUUAGCUGUAAUUUAUACCGUUUGUUUUUAUUUUUUGUCUUGCUUUGAAUUUGCAGAUUUUGUGGUUCGUUGGAAUCGAAUAAUCAGCUCAUAACUCAACAAAGAAUUAUGAGCAACAUUAUUGGUAUCUAGAAUUUUCUAUCUGGAAUUUGUUGAGCAGCUUUCCUUCUUAUUUAUUUUAAAUCUGUAUGGAUUUUACAUAAGCAUUUUAUGGUGCCUGAAACUGAAAAUUUGUGUUUUCGAAGUUAUCUGUGUCGAAUGAGGCUGUUUCUAGAAGUGUGAAGUCGAUGUUCAAAGCUUGGGAGCAGCGGCUUAACUCUUCAGAGGUACUCCAUGAUUUGCUGAGUUUUGGUUAUUGAUAUGUUUUUCCUUGAAUUGAAGAUAUGAGUUCAUAUUUAAGCGGUGAAAUAUGUUUGAUUUUUCUUUGUCAUGUUUUUCUUUUCCCUGCAUUAGUAGCACGUAGUAUGGAUUAACAAGGUGUUAGUCGAUAUGAAUUUGCUUGAUUUCUUAUAUUCAAUAGUUUAUGUCUUAUAGAAUUGAGUCAUGUAUAUGGCAGGAUGUAUAUAGUUUAUGUCUAUUAUCACCAACAAGCAUGUGUUUGUAGUGAGAAUUAUUGAUUUUUCUCUUAAAACUCUGGGGAUUUAGCUAUAAUUUAUACCGUGUGUUUUGAUUUUUGAUCUUGGUUUUAAUUUGCAGAUUUUGUGGUUUGUUGGAAUCGAAUAGUCAGCUCAUAACUCAACAAAGAAAGGAUGAAGAGCUGCAGAUUGUCUUUGAGGAUUGCAAUACUAAGAAAAAGGUUGGAUUUAUAUUCAUGAUUUUUUUUGGAAUUUUCUGUUUUGUAGAUUUCGUUUUUAGGGUUAGAUGCAAAUUGGAUUACUACUUCUUUUUAGAAUUUCAAGAGGAAAAAAAUAUAUACUAUAAGUUUUUUCUUUUUAUUUUCUUUUCUGGCGGUAGGUUAUAUUCGUGCUCAAAUAUGCAGCUUUGCAUUUUUCUUUUCUUUCUUUAUUUUUUCUGCAACAACCAGAUUCGAGGAAAGAAUAAAAUACUGGUAUACUAUAUUAUUAAAUUUUCUUUGCAUAUGUAUAGUAGUUGAUUUUCUGAAUUUAAAUUAAUUUUUUAUCCUGCGAGUUUCCUUAGCUUCGAUGGCAUUGAGGGUAUUUGAUUCAAUUUUUUGCUUUGUUUGUGUGGAUGCAGAAUGACAACCAAUUUUUUCCAAAGCACGAACUGCAGGCUGGAGGCAACGGAGAGAAGACCCAUUUUUGUUACUUUUUCUCAUAUAUUUUCUUUUAGUUUUUUCAGAAUCUGUGAAUGAUCUUUAGAGAAGAACUGGAGAGAUCCCCUAAUAUCUGUUCCAAGAUAAAAGUUUUAAUUUUUGUCUUUUUUUAAAUGGUUAUUUGCUCUUAUUUCGUGUGUAUGUCUUUUUGAUCUAAAUACCUAAUAUAUGUAUUUCAUAUUAUGCAACUGUUAAUUUGUCGACAAAGCUUGAAUA